rnacentral:rRNA from 1 species
GUGAACGCUGGCGGUAGGCCUAACACAUGCAAGUCGAACGGCAGCACAGUAAGAGCUUGCUCUUACGGGUGGCGAGUGGCGGACGGGUGAGGAAUACAUCGGAAUCUACUUUUUCGUGGGGGAUAACGUAGGGAAACUUACGCUAGUACCGCAUACGACCUACGGGUGAAAGCAGGGGAUCUUCGGACCUUGCGCGAUUGAAUGAGCCGAUGUCGGAUUAGCUAGUUGGCGGGGUAAAGGCCCACCAAGGCGACGAUCCGUAGCUGGUCUGAGAGGAUGAUCAGCCACACUGGAACUGAGACACGGUCCAGACUCCUACGGGAGGCAGCAGUGGGGAAUAUUGGACAAUGGGCGCAAGCCUGAUCCAGCCAUACCGCGUGGGUGAAGAAGGCCUUCGGGUUGUAAAGCCCUUUUGUUGGGAAAGAAAAGCAGCAGGUUAAUACCCCGCUGUUCUGACGGUACCCAAAGAAUAAGCACCGGCUAACUUCGUG